rnacentral:rRNA from 1 species
UACGAAGGGGGGCUAGCGUUGCUCGGAAUCACUGGGCGUAAAGCGCACGUAGGCGGCUUUUUAAGUCAGAGGUGAAAUCCUGGAGCUCAACUCCAGAACUGCCUUUGAUACUGGAGAGCUUGAGUCCGGGAGAGGUGAGUGGAACUGCGAGUGUAGAGGUGAAAUUCGUAGAUAUUCGCAAGAACACCAGUGGCGAAGGCGGCUCACUGGCCCGGUACUGACGCUGAGGCGCGAAAGCGUGGGGAGCAAACAGGG